UACGUAGGGAGCAAGCGUUGUCCGGAAUCAUUGGGCGUAAAGCGCGCGUAGGUGGCUUCGUAAGUCCGUUGUGAAAGUCAAAGGCUCAACCUUUGAAAGCCGAUGGAUACUGUGAAACUAGAGUACGGAAGAGGCGAGUGGAAUUCCUGGUGUAGCGGUGGAAUGCGCAGAUAUCAGGAGGAACACCAAUAGCGAAGGCAGCUCGCUGGGACGUUACUGACACUGAGGCGCGAAAGCGUGGGGAGCGAACAGG
rnacentral:rRNA from 1 species